rnacentral:lncRNA from 1 species
AACGUCUGUUGUGGAGCCUUACAACAGUGUGCUUUCAACUCACUCGCUGCUUGAGCACACAGAUGUUGCAAUUCUUCUUGACAAUGAGGCCAUUUAUGACAUUUGCAGGCGGUCACUGGACAUUGAGCGCCCCACUUACACCAACCUUAACCGCCUUAUUUCACAAGUAUAAUUGAGUGCAUAUCAUUCUGGGCUGUGUUGUACACACUAUAUUCUUCUUCAAUUGUAGAUAGUAAUUUCUGUGCUUCCAAUGCAGGUCAUUUCUUCUCUGACUGCUUCUUUGAGGUUCGAUGGAGCCUUGAAUGUUGAUGUGAAUGAAUUCCAGACCAACCUUGUACCAUAUCCCAGAAUCCAUUUUAUGCUUUCCUCCUAUGCUCCAGUCAUUUCAGCUGAGAAGGCUUACCAUGAGCAGCUCUCAGUAGCAGAGAUCACAAACAGUGCCUUUGAACCCUCUUCUAUGAUGGUUAAGUGUGAUC